GACAGAGGAGUCGAGCGUUAUCCGGAGUUAUUGGGCGUAAAGGGUACGAAGGCGGCUGGUCAAGUCUGGGGUUAAAGACCACAGCUUAACUGUGGGGGGGCCUUGGAAACUGACCGGCUGGAGUGGGGCAGGGGUUGCGGGAAUUCCCGGUGUAGAGGUGAAAUGCGUAGAUUUCGGGAAGAGCACCUGAGGCGAAAGCGCGCAACUGGGCCGUAACUGACGCUGAGGUACGAAAGCUAGGGGAGCGAAUGGG
rnacentral:rRNA from 1 species